CAUUGCGGGCUGUUUAAGACGCAGACCUCGGCGAGCCUUUAAGCACCCGAAUGGCCGGCGACAAAACCCGACACCCCGUGCAGUGCCUCUACCUGCAGCACCCCUCCCCGACACCGACAGAAGUGACCAGCUCGUGUUUGGCCCAGAUUUACGAUGUUUUCUUCCUCCGGGCAAGUUUCGGUGUUGACCCACACCUAAAUAAAGUCCGAUUCGUGAUACCCACUCUUAUUUGAAGCUCAGUUCGUGACAUCCACCCUUGUACGAAGCCGAUUUGCGAUACUCAUCCUCUUCGACAUCUGUUCGGCACUUACCCACACCUUGUCUGCAUUAGAUUUACAAGUCCCAACGCGUUCACCAUCGUUCAACGAGGUUCUGUGGGUUUCGAAUUGACGCAAAGGUGAGGAUACGAGUUACGAUCAUGGUGAUGGUGCGGAGGAGACUCAAGGAGAAAUACCAUGGCUAGUUCCUGUUUAGCUUUAUUAGGUUUAUGAUAGGUCAUUAUGAGUUUAUUUGUUUCAGUUAUGUACUCUGUUAGGACCCUGACUGUGCAAAGUUCAUGCGGUCAGCAAAAGCUUUAGCUUGUCUUGUUAUUGAGUUUGGUUUCUCUUUAGAAGUUGGGUCAUUAGACCCUUUAAAAGUAUGUUAAGUUUAUCUAUUUUAAAAUUUUUUAACUUUAGAAGUUGGAGCUUGGAUACACUCUUUAGUUGUUAAGUUGUUGUGAAUGUUGUUAUUUAGAGUAGCGCAGCAGAAGCGUGAUGGAUUAGACGUUUAGUUGGUUGCUAUAACAUUUUUUUUGCUUGGUUAAGUUACUGUCGUAUAGGUUGUUGGAUUGUUGCCAUUUACUCAAGUUUAUUUAGCUUUAACUCAAGUAGAUGAGAAUUGUGUCACUUGUCUACGGAGGACAGGUUGUUUUGUUUGUCUGUCAGGUGUGAUAUUCACAAGUUUAAGCCGAGCAAUUAAAAUGGUUGAAUUGUGCUUAGUCUGAGUGGUUAGUAGUUUUACCCUCUUGUAUAAGUAGAACUUUUUAGGUUGUUUUCGUAACUGUCCCUGAUCUUGGAUAAUGGAAAUCCUAGGGCGUUACUAGCGUUUGUUGCACAAUCAGAGGUCGAUCCGUGGUCCGAUCGAGGUGAAAUUUUGACAAUGUGUUCACAACACGAGGGUCUUCAAUUUGGACAGUGAGAUAUCUUUUAGAGCUGCCUACAGUCAGAUACAGAGAUCUUUCUAUUUUUCUUCCCCGAUGUAUUCCCUUGUUUGCCGAAAUUUAUUGUCUCGAGAUAUUAUUAUUGUAUGCCUCUAGUUGUUGCUAGGGAGAACUUGGUGAGAACUUGGUGUAGCCCAUUAUUGAUUAUAGUGGAGAUUUUGACUUCGGUC